rnacentral:rRNA from 1 species
UACGUAGGGGGCAAGCGUUGUCCGGAAUCAUUGGGCGUAAAGAGCGUGUAGGCGGCCAGAAAAGUCCGCUGUGAAAACUCGAGGCUCAACUUCGAGCUGUCGGUGGAAACUUUCUGGCUAGAGUCCGGAAGAGGAGAAUGGAAUUCCUGGGUGUAGCGGUGAAAGUGCGCAGAUAUCAGGAAGAACACCCGUGGCGAAGGCGGAUUCGUCUGGGACGGUACUGACGCUGAGACGCGAAAGCGUGGGGAGCGAACAGG